GUCACAUACUGCUGGUAUUGAUGGAUGGUAUAGGUCUCACUCUGCUGGUAUUGAUGGAUGGUAUAGGUCUCACACUCUGCUGGUAUUGAUGGAUGGUAUAGGUCUCACUCUGCUGGUAUUGAUGGAUGGUAUAGGUCUCACUCUGCUGGUAUUGAUGGCUGGUAUAGGUCUCACUCUGCUGGUAUUGAUGGAUGGUAUAGGUCUCACUCUGCUGGUAUUGAUGGCUGGUAUAGGUCUCACUCUGCUGGUAUUGAUGACUGGUAUAGGUCUCACUCUGCUGGUAUUGAUGGAUGGUAUAGGUCUCACACUCUGCUGGUAUUGAUGGAUGGUAUAGGUCUCACACUGCUGGUAUUGAUGGAUGGUAUAGGUCUCACACUCUGCUGGUAUUGAUGGAUGGUAUAGGUCUCACUCUGCUGGUAUUGAUGGCUGGUAUAGGUCUCACACUCUGCUGGUAUUGAUGGAUGGUAUAGGUCUCACUCUCUGCUGGUAUUGAUGGAUGGUAUAGGUCUCACUCUCUGCUGGUAUUGAUGGAUGGUAUAGGUCUCACUCUGAUGGUAAUGAUGGCUGGUAUAGGUCUCACACUGCUGGUAAUGAUGGCAGGUAUAGGUCUCACUCUGCUGGUAAUGAUGGCUGGUAUAGGUCUCACACUCUGCUGGUAUUGAUGGAUGGUAUAGGUCUCACUCUGCUGGUAUUGAUGGAUAGUGUAGGUCUCACUCUGCUGGUAAUGAUGGCUGGUAUAGGUCACACUCUGCUGGUAUUGAUGGAUGGUAUAGGUCUCACACUGCUGGUAAUGAUGGAUGGUAUAGGUCACACUCUGCUGGUAUAGGUCUCACUCUCUGCUGGUAUUGAUGGCUGGUAUAGGUCUCACUGUCUGCUGGUAUUGACCGAUGGUAUAGGUCUCACACACUGCUGGUAUUGACGGAUGGUAUAGGUCUCACUGUCUGCUGGUAUUGAUGGAUGGUAUAGGUCUCACACUCUGCUGGUAUUGACGGAUGGUAUAGGUCUCACUGUCUGCUGGUAUUUAUGGAUGGUAUAGGUCUCACACUGCUGGUAUUGAUGGCUGGUAUAGGUCUCACACUGCUGGUAUUGAUGGCUGGUAUAGGUCUCACUCUGCUGGUAUUGAUGGCUGGUAUAGGUCACACACUCUGCUGGUAUUGAUGGAUGGUAUAGGUCUCACACUCUGCUGGUAUUGAUGGCUGGUACAGGUCUCACACUCUGCUGGUAUUGAUGGAUGGUACAGGUCUCACUCUGCUGGUAUUGAUGGAUGGUAUAGGUCUCACACUCUGCUGGUAUUGA
rnacentral:lncRNA from 1 species